rnacentral:rRNA from 1 species
UACAGAGGUCUCGAGCGUUAGGCGGAAUCACUGGGCUUAAAGCGUGUGUAGGCGGAUCGUUAAGUGCCUUGUGAAAUCCCACGGCUCAACCGUGGAACUGCUUGGCAUACUGGCGGUCUUGAGCAACCUAGGGGCGAGCGGAACAAAUGGUGGAGCGGUGAAAUGCGUAGAUAUCAUUUGGAACGCCAAUGGUGAAAACAGCUCGCUGGGGGUUUGCUGACGCUGAGGCACGAAAGUGUGGGGAUCAAACAGG